rnacentral:piRNA from 1 species
GUCAGAAAUACCUUUGAGCACCCCCAU